UGAUUCAUAGAACUUUAGACAAAGCAAUUGUGAAGGUCAGCUUUUGAUAAUCUUUGAAUUGGUUCUUGAAGGGAACGAUGUAGAGCUAUGUGCAAUGAACAAGGAAUAUUUUCUCCUCUUUUUUUCUUUUUUUUUUUCCCUCAAGUUAAACAAAGAAAAGAGAAAAACACCAAACUCUUUUUUCUUUUUACCCUUUAAUUUUUAGGGACAGAAUGUGACCACCAAACUGAAUACAAUGUAUUUGAGGUGUUUUUUAGUGGUUAGGGUUCUUAAUUUUGAC
rnacentral:lncRNA from 1 species